rnacentral:tRNA from 1 species
GGUAUAGAGCUGAGUGGUAGAGCACUUGCCUGGUAUGCACAGGCCUGGGUUCAAUCCCCAUUGUACUA